rnacentral:rRNA from 1 species
GGAAUUGUUCGCAAUGGGCGCAAGCCUGACGACGCAACGCCGCGUGGAGGAUGAAGGUCUUUGGAUUGUAAACUCCUGUUGCUCGGGACGAAAAGCUUCGACCUAAUACGUCGAAGUCUGACGGUACCGAGUGAGGAAGCCCCGGCUAACUACGUGCCAGCAGCCGCGGUAAUACGUAGGAGGCAAGCGUUGCCCGGAAUCAUUGGGCGUAAAGCGCGCGCAGGCGGCCGUGUGCGGUCCCGCGUGGAAUCUCCCGGCUCAACCGGGAGGGGCCGCGGGAGACGGCGCGGCUGGAGUGGGGGAGGGGAGAGCGGAAUUCCCGGUGUAGUGGUGGAAUGCGUAGAGAUCGGGAGGAACACCCGUGGCGAAGGCGGCUCUCUGGACCCUGACUGACGCUGAGGCGCGAAAGCGUGGGGAGCGAUC